rnacentral:lncRNA from 1 species
AUUACCAAGUGCUAAUUUUUGACAGUCUACUUGUCUCCUUGAUUAAUUACCUGGAUCUGAUGCCUUUUAUCAGUGGGAUUUGAAUGAUUAUUUAGCUAGCCCCCAUGAUUGAAGUUGUUGAAUGUUAGUUUCUUUGGAAUGCUACAGAGAAAAAGUGUGUGUACCUAUAAGCAAUACAAAAGACAUCUUUAUCAACGAAUCCAAACAAAUGGAGAUCUGCCUCCCAUGAUAGUUUUUCAUAUUAAAAUACAGUUACAGUUGGGAACAUACAUAGUAUAGGAUUAUGACCAGAAGAAUAAAAACAAAUAGAAUAUCACAUGCAUGUCAACAUAGUAUUUUAUUACUGUACAUCAUUUUCCAUUGUUUGAUAUGAUGGAGAAGUGCAACUCGAUAUAGUCACUUAUCACAGACAACACACAUACAAGAGUUUACCAAAAUGUUAUCAGCAUGACAAUACGAAUGAUCAAGGAGAUUCCGCCACUUCUGCUCGCAUGUUGCCUGGCAAGUAACAGGAAAGCAAAUAAAAGGUUCCCAGAAAGCACGAUAGGUAUGGCAAUUCCCUGUUGUCAAGAAAAUACAUCAGCAAGAGAUAUCCAAACUAAGAAACUUGUGGAGUUCUACUAUGCUUGGAGGGAUAAGGGAAACACGUAUAUAGGGACAUGGAGAUUGAUUUCUUACUAGCAUGGCUUGAAUUUCCUAGCAGCACAAGUACCAUAAGGCAAAGAAGAAUAGUUUUCCCCUCCAUAUCUGAUUCUCGUUUUGGUUUGGGGAUCAAGAAGCAUAUAUGAUGUUAUGUUAUAGCAUUGUCUCUAGAGACAUUUAUUCCCCAUUCACUCAAAUAUAAUAAAAAAAGAUCUGGCCAUAUCAUCUAUCUAUAUCUAUAUCUAUAUCUAUGUAUCUAUGUAUCUAUGUAUCUAUGUAUCUAUCUAUCUAUCUAUCUAUCUAUCUAUCUAUAUCAAUAUACAUAUAUAUACUUAUAUAUUGCGUGUAGUAAUCAACAAGGAGCCAUGCAGCCGCCACCUCCUAAAAAAAAGCUAAGGUUUGUACCUCUGCCGGCUCCGUCGCAUGCCCGCCUCGUCCCCGUUGGCCCUAUGACAAUGAGGGCGCGGUGAAUCCUGUCAAGGGCCAGCGGGUGGGCUCCAUUGUUAGUUGUUCCUUUGAGAUUUGUUAUGGUUUGUGUCCUGCUCAGGAAGGCGAGAUGGCAGUGGGUCCUUGAAGAUGGAACAAAGGUCUCCCCGCCUAGCCCCCGUUCCGUUGGUGCAUCUAGCAUCGUUGGUGGGCCGGUGGAGGUGUGUCUCCGGUGGAUCUAUCCUUGGUGGAUUUCCUCGGAUCUAGUUGUUAUUCGUCUAUAUUCGUGUGUCUUCGGGUUGGAUCUUUUCGAUCUACGUUAUGCUUCAUCGGCAGCGGUUGUUGUUCUGGUGCGCUUGUCCUAUAGGGCCUUAGCACGAUGACUUCUCAACUGUCUACUACAACAAGUUGUGCCUAACUCCGGCGAGGGAGGGGCGAUGACGGUGGUGCGCCUUCGGCUCGUUUCAGUGCUUGUAGUCGUCGCUAGGUGGUCUACAUAUCUAGAUGUGUUUUUUAUUAUUUCUGGUCUUCGUUGUAUUGCAUGAUUGAAAUGAAUAGAUCAGAAGGUUUCUCGCAAAAAAUAUACUUCUAUAUCAAUAGCUAUACACAUAUAUACUUACUAUUAAUUAUAGACUCCCAAAAAAUUCUUAUGUUAAUCAGAAAUUAUGAACCGUUUAUCUAGUUGGACCGACAACACCGUAAGUAGAACUCAAGUUUCGACAACGAAUAUCAUUCUAUCGAUCAAUCAACCUUUUUGUACAAUUGAAUUUACAAAUUUCUUCUACGCACAUGUGACAAAACAAGCAGGCAUCAAUACGCAUGCCCAACCAUGAAGAUCCAUUGGACUUGAAAAAUAAAGACGAAGCAAACGUCAGAGACAAGACAAUUCCUAAAAGGCUUAAAAGAUUCCUUGAUCUGGAAGAAGGAGAGCAACUACAAGAUUUCGACAUGGUAAGCACAUCUCAUGUUACGGAUAAGAGAUACAAUCUCGACACUACAAUUCUAUCUAACGAUCAAAAAAUCAUGUCUAAAUCCCUUCGUUGCAUUUUUGCAGUUCUUUCUACCAGUUUGCAUAGGCGGGCAUGUUCAACAAAAACAAAGAACUGUGGGCCACUACUUCGUUGUUACAAUUAACAUGAAAAAAGAGCGCUUUGAACUUCUUGACUUUUUACCAGAUGAAUAUACAGGCACAAUGGACUACUUCAACACAGUAACAAGCAGAGUAAAGAGGAUAUGGAAGCAAAUAAGCCCAUUGCUCCAACUGUCUCCAAGUAAUAUUGACCAUUUCGAAAAGGUCAAGAUGAAGGUGCCAUUUCAGGGAAAAACGUAAGCACUACAAACCUUUCUCCUUUUCCUUACUCACUGUAACAAUUAUUGAUGAAAUCCAUAAAAAAACAUAGGACAUUAGGACAACUUCACCUAAACUGCCCAACCAUCUUUGGACAGUGACAAUAAUCAAUCAUCCUUCUACCUGCAGACUCGAUUGUGCGUUCUAUUUGUUCAUGAACGCAAAGUACUAAACCGGCGAUGGAGAAAUAGUGUUACUAACAGAGGAACAAGUCCCAAAGUUGAGAAAGAAAAUUCUCUAUCAAAUAAUCAGCCAAUACAGAGAUAAGGCCGCACUGUCGUUAAUCAACUACACCGCAUGUUUCACUUACUAAAGACAACAAAGUAAAAUUCUGCUUAUCUAAUUUUCGGAGACACACCAAUAAAUUUUUAUUUUUAUUUUAUCAGAUAUGCUGAAAUCUGAUGUCGAUAUGGAAGACAGUGAAAUGCAACGAAUACAUUGUGACAUAAUUCAGCAAGAGAUUCCUUCAACUCCCGAGCACAUUGGGACGAGCGCUCAAGAGAUAAAAGUUAUUGACAUUAAUGACACAAGCAGCGAUGAGGAGAAAGAAGAUUAUCAUGUGAGCAGCAAGUAUACCACCAAGGUGUCUGAAGAAGCACUCACGGAAGAACAAGCCUAGACAAUGCUAGUUUACAGAGGGAACAACACGCGCAGCCAGACGCUGAUUUACAAAAGGAAGACGAACGGAAAGAUCCACCGAUAGAACCAGACAGACCACCCCCAGAUAAAAACAACGAAGGCAUAACACGCUCUCCUUUAGAAGUGGAUAACAGGACAAAGAGCGUACCAACUCGCCAACAACAGCUUUCCAAACAGAACAUGAACACUAUUGGCAAAGAUCGCAUAUCAGGAACAUCACCAGAGGCAGAACAUGCACAAGAAGAAAAGAAACAGAAGGAGAAGCAUUUACUAGAGAAGAUACUUCAAAAGAGGAAACGCGAUGCUGAAGUCUCAGUAGAACCGAGCAUCAAAAACAACAACACAUAAAAGGACACACCAACACCUGAGCAGCUUAACGAGCAGGCGCAGUUAGGUCACGACAAGAAAAGGGAAAGGCAUCUUGCAAGAGUGCAGACAAGUUCCCCAAAACCCUCGACGAUUCAAUCACAUGAGAUCAGCUCAGCAAACAUAAUUUCAACUAAGAGGCCAUUCAAGCGAGCAAGCAAGGAAAUUGAGAAAGUCAACGCUCCAGCACUUGUUCCAGGAGAUUUCAUUUACGAAGAAAAGGCCAUGCAACUCUAUAGAUAUCUGAUGAGCCAACAAGGACAGAAAGAAUGCGGACGGUAAGCAGAUUCUCCUUGUUCCAUGGAAACAAUUACACAGAGCUACACAUUCUCUAACAUCUAACUAACCAUUCACUCACCAACUUCUAAACCCUCCUUGCUUGCAGAGAACAGCUAUAUAAAAGCUCAAAGCGCGAAGGCUACAUUUCAGGAAAAUCCUUCAUGGAACAAGUAGAGAAAGGAGAUGCAUAAAUGGAGGGCUCCAUGCUAAACGCGUUACUGGACGAAUGGACAGAACAGGAACAGUUCAACCCAGACGUCACAACAGUACUCCCUGCAGAAUUCGCAAAUGUAUGCAUACCUCACCCGGAAAAACACCACCGUCAUUACUAUGGUAGAAUAUUUAACUAAUACCACACACUCUCUUUCUUGAAGAUGGUGCUAGGUCUCAAUUAUAAUAGAGAACAGCUAUCAGAAUUCAACGAAGACGAUGCACUACAAGCAUUUGAACAACUCGUGCGAGGUAAAAACACCCUGCAAUCGAAGAUGGUAAUUUCGGAACUAUUACUGAACACAUGACUUAUUCUCCUUGAGCUUCAACAAUUAAAUGAAAUUCAAUUUUUACAUCAACAACGAUCUCCGCUCUCAACGUAGAUCAUGAUACCUCAUCACACAGACGAGCACUACAUGGUAUAUGUAAUGAACAAGUACAGAGAUAGCAUCGACAUCCUUGACUCACUGAACUAUGUAAACUACGCCGAUUUGUCUUUGAGUAAACACCAUGUGCAUCGAGCAGAACUGGUACGUACUUUUUGUACAUUGAUUUAUUAUUUUCCUCGUGAUAGUAUGAUACUCUUACUUUUAUCAAUGCCGCACCCAAACAACAUAACCAAAAUGCAAUCACAGAUGAGAAGGAUGUCGGUGCUGAUGAACAAGUACCACCAACUAAAACAAAAGAACGAACAAGACUGGGCAAGGAUAGCAGAAAGGCCUCACAGGGUCUGCACACCAAAGCAAGAAGGAACGAAAUGCGGACACUUCACGGCCGAAUUUGCGAAGCACUGGAAUGGGAAAGAACUGGUCAAGGACAGAGAGAAUUUUCAUGUAAGUUACCAGUACAUACACGUCAAAUUACUUGAUUUCUUUAUUGCCGCAAUUAGUUUAUUCACAAUGGUGGACAACAUGUAACUAUAAACCAUACAUUUUGACAUGCCUGCAGGCCAGCAAGGUGGAUGCCGAAUGAAAACCAGAGUACGUAUACACACUCAUAUUCGGUAAAACCAACCAAAUAAAGCACCAUCAACUUCCUGAAAAAAUCAAAGUUUUCAAACCAUAGACUAUAAACCUUUUUUCGCAUGAAAGGUAAUAUAACUAUUUUCAUUUUUACCAUCAGUCAACAUGACAGGAACUUCAAAUAUAUCUUUUAGAAACAACAGCCAUAAUUUUUUAUCUAUUUUGACAGAGCGAGACGAAAAAAACCAAGAUCAAUCAAGGAGCACCAACAAAUACCUGCAACACCGGCAUUCUUCAGACACGUGUGUAAGGCAAACGAGCUCUACGACAUAGUCAUGAGUGACACAUGGCAGGACAGAUUCAAAAGGUGACUUGGUUCCUUUUCCAACUGAAAUUAGUUAAAGUUACGCGGCAAUCACACAAAUAAGACAGAAACUAGAAAGAACCUUGAAUUCCUGUUUAUCAGCUUGCUUGUUAGUGACAUUCUCAACAAAAGUUUCUUCUACUAUUUUACCUGUAAGCAGAGAAGUAGUAUUCUCGAGAGAACAACCACAGGGGAACAGCACAACUCUCACUGGAUCAAACCUAAAGGAAAUAUUUGGGCCUGCAAACAAGAAAAAAUGUCAAGGAAUGGAAAAGAAGGUGCUCGAUGAGUUAGCAGAAGCAUGGGAGGGAAGCAAGCAAACUACACACAGAAGACAUAGACUAUUAUUAGGCCCAAUCUUUCCAGAGGUAAAUUUAAAAAAAACACAAUGAUCAUACAAACUCAUCUUUUUGCAACGAUUGUUUAAUCUCUUGGUACCGAUCUAUUCUGUCUAAUUUGUUUUUAUGGUUUUUUAUUUGUUGCCUGCAGAAUAUUCUGGGUUUAAAGGAUAAAAGAAAAUCUAUGGCGGACUUCAGAGAUGAUUUCACACGAGAGAAGGAUACCUGGUUCCUUUGUUCCUUAAGAAAUGUCAACCAGACAAGCUCAAAACAGCAAAAAUAGUAAUAGCGUUAAAACAAUAUUCUAAACUCUCCUCUAACAAUAAAACACUCCUCUAACAAAAUAAAAAUAAGCAUUUCAAACAAAAUACUAUAUUCUAAACUCUCCUCUAACAAUAUAACUUUUGUACCGCAGGUAUUCAUGCCAUUUGAAAAGGAAGACCAAUACACACUAUUAGUGCUCGACAAAUAUAGAAGGAAGCUUCAAAUCAUCGAGCCUGAAGAAACCACUCUUGAAGAAUUGAAGAGGCAAGAAUACCUGAAAAAACAAUGUGCUCACCACGUGCAUGAUGGCAAAUUAAGUAAGCAAAUUGUUGACAUGGAAAUCAACGAAGCCAACAAAAAAAAGGAGCAUAACAAAUACCACAACCAUAAAGACAAACUGGUAAGAAUUGUAAAUAACAGCGUCUUUCAGUUUUACAAAUUACACUACAUGUCUCUCUAAAACAAAAACAAAAUGCAAUUCCUAGGUGCCCAGGUUCAAGGUAGUAUACGAAAUAUUACUCAGUGAAAAAUUCGAAAAGGGAAGGACUAAAUGGGAAGUUCAAUUUUUAAAGGGCGUUCCAAAGGUGAACAAAGGUGAAACCCCAUUUGCUGUUCUAAGGUUCGCGCAUCUCUUUGAUGGCAACCACUUCGUCGAAGAGAUAGAUAAUUUCUACGUAAGUUUUCGCUUAAAACUCGCUAUAAAUCUGCAAGAUAUCAUACAACAGCAUGACCUAAUUCUGAUGUGUUUUUUCUCCUUAUUUUUCAUUGAAUUUUUUAUAGGAUGGCACGGAACAAUGGAAAGCACAACAACUAUGUAGGCUACUAUCUAGCAAUCAGAAUACAAUCGAACCCAGCGAAAUGGGCGAUGAGAUUAGAAAGAUCUAUGAUGACAUCAAGGAAUAAAAAGUUGUUGAUAAGUGAACAAGCCUAGCUCCGUCAAAACAUCAGAAAAUGGUUUAACCGCACAUCAUACUGUGAUAAUGAAGCAACAGACUCUUUUUAUUGAUGUAGUUCCUUGAUUCUUCAUUAACCAAGCAUUCAAACACAAGCCAGUGCCCCAAGUCCGUCCCUAGACAUACGUGCAUCACAUCGACGUGCAGUUACUCUACAUACUCCUCACGCGUGACCGCCGGUGACUUUGAUGUUUCACAAACAUUCCUCCUCUCUGCAACCGUGUGCUGCCGAAUGCCACCAACCUACAGCAUGCAUCUGUCGUGAGUACAAACGUGACUCUCUAAAUGAGUAUUCAAACAAAUGCAUGUGGUGCCACCCACUCACGCCGUUAGAGGCCUCACUCCUGUGCAUCCACAAUGGUGCCUCUCCUACCACACCACCAUGCAUCCAGAGGAUUGAGGGCCACUGAUGCCUCUCGAAGCCCCACACCAUUCCACGCCUGUGAUGCCAGAUACGCGUGACUUUCUAGAGGCUUGACAACCGUGACUCCCUAACUGUGUAUUCGGAAACAUGCUUCUGGUACCACACUUUUGAACAUCCACAGUAUUGAUAGUUGUUCGAAACAACAAAAACACAACUUCCGUGCCAAUUGAGUCUUCACCUCCGUGAUUUCUGUGCCUGCAUCCACGUGCCUAACGUGUCACGCCCCGCGACACUUACAUGAUCGCAGUACCACACCCGUGUCUCUUCACAAACGUCACUGUUGGAAAUAUGACCUAGAGGCAAUAAUAAAUUAGUUAUUAGUAUAUUUCCUUGUUCAUGAUAAUCGUUUAUUAUCCAUGCUAUAAUUGUAUUGAAAGGAAACUCAGAUACAUGUGUGGGUACAUAGACAACACCAUGUCCCUAGUAAGCCUCUAGUUGACUAGCUCGUUGAUCAAUAGAUGGUUACGGUUUCCUGACCAUGGACAUUGGAUGUCGUUGAUAACGGGAUCACAUCAUUAGGAGAAUGAUGUGAUGGACAAGAACCAAUCCUAAGCCUAGCACAAAGAUCGUAGUUCGUAUGCUAAAGCUUUUCUAAUGUCAAGUAUCAUUUCCUUAGACCAUGAGAUUGUGCAACUCCCGGAUACCGUAGGAAUGGUUUGGGUGUACCAAACGUCACAACGUAACUGGGUGGCUAUAAAGGUGCAUUACAGGUAUCUCCGAAAGUGUCUGUUGGGUUGGCACGAAUCGAGACUGGGAUUUGUCACUCCGGUUGACGGAGAGGUAUCUCUGGGCCCACUCGGUAGGACAUCAUCAUAUGUGCACAAUGUGACCAAGGGGUUGAUCACGGGAUGAUGUGUUACGGAACGAGUAAGGAGACUUGCCGGUAACGAGAUUGAACAAGGUAUCGGGAUACCGACGAUCGAAUCUCGGGCUAGUACAAUACCGCUAGACAAAGGGAAUUGUAUACGGGAUUGAUUGAGUCCUUGACAUCGUGGUUCAUCCGAUGAGAUCAUCGUGGAACAUGUGGGAGCCAACAUGGGUAUCCAGAUCCCGAUGUUGGUUAUUGACCGGAGAACGUCUCGGUCAUGUCUGCAUGGUUCCCCAACCCGUAGGGUCUACACACUUAAGGUUCGAUGACGCUAGGGUUAUAAUGGAAGUUUGUAUGUGGUUAUCGAACGUUGCUCGGAGUCCCAGAUGAGAUCCCGGACGUCACGAGGAGUUCCGGAAUGGUCCGGAGGUAAAGAUUUAUAUAUGGGAAGUCCUGUUUUGGUCAUCGGAAAGGUUUCGGGUUUUAUCGGUAAACGUACCGGGACCACCGGGAGGGUCCCGGGGGUCCACCAAGUGGGGCCACAGGCCCCGGAGGGCUGCAUGGGAUAACUGUGGGAGGGGACCAGCCCCAGGUGGGCUGGUGCGCCCCCCACAAGGGCCCAAGGCGCCUAGGGUUUGGGGGAACCCUAAAAGGGGGCGCCCCCCCUUUCCUUGGGGGGCAAGGCAACCCCCCUGGCCGCCGCCCCCUCCUUAGAUUGGAUCUGAGGGGGCCGGCCCCCCUCUCCCUUGCCCCUGUAUAUAUAUGUGGGGGUUGGGAGGGCAGCCACACCCAAGUUCUGGCGCAGCCCUCCCCCUCUCCCAAGUCCUCCUCCUCUCCCACGGUGCUUGGCGAAGCCCUGUAGGAUUGCCACGCUCCUCCACCACCACCACGCUGUUGUGCUGCUGCUGGAUGGAGUCUUCCUCAACCUCUCCCUCUCUCCUUGCUGGAACAAGGCAUGGGAGACGUCACCGGGCUGUACGUGUGUUGAACGCGGAGGUGCCGUCCGUUCGGCACUAGGAUCUCCGGUGAUUUGGAUCACGACGAGUACGACUCCUUCAACCCCGUUCUCUUGAACGCUUCCGCUUAGCGAUCUACAAGGGUAUGUUCUCCAUAGAUAGAUCUUGGUGUCACGUAGGAAAAUUUUGAAUUUCUGCUACGUUCCCCAACAGUGGCAUCAUGAGCUAGGUCUAUUGCGUAGAUUCUUUGCAUGAGUAGAACACAAAGUAGUUGUGGGCGUUGAUUUUUUUGAAUAUGCUUACCGUUACUAGUCCAAUCUUGUUUCGACGGUAUUGUGGGAUGAAGCGGCCCGGACCGACCUUACACGUACAGUUACGUGAGACAGGUUCCACCGACUGACAUGCACUUGGUGCAUAAGGUGGCUAGCGGGUGCCAGUCUCUCCCACUUUAGUCGGAACGGAUUCGAUGAAAAGGGUCCUAAUGAAGGGUAAAUAGCAAUUGGCAUAUCACGUUGUGUUUUUGCGUAGGUAAGAAAGUUCUUGCUAGAAACCCAUAGCAGCCACGUAAAACAUGCAAACAACAAUUAGAGGAUGUAUAACUUGUUUUUGCAGGGUAUGCUAUGUGAUGUGAUAUGGCCAAGAAGAAUAUGAUGAAUGAUAUGUGAUGUAUGAGAUUGAUCAUGUUCUUGUAAUAGGAAUCACGACUUGCAUGUCGAUGAGUAUGACAACCGGCAGGAGCCAUAUGAGUUGUCUUAAUUUAUUGUAUGACCUACAUGUCAUUGAACAACGCCAUGUAAUUACUUUACUUUAUUGCUAACCUGUAGCCAUAGUAGUAGAAGUAAUAAGUUGGCGAGACAACUUCAUGGAGACACGAUGAUGGAGAUCAUGAUGAUGGAGAUCAUGGUGUCAUGCCGGUGACGAUGAUGAUCAUGGAGCCCCGAAGAUGGAUAUCAAAAGGAGCAAAAUGAUAUUGGCCAUAUCAUGUCAUUAUUUGAUUGCAUGUGAUGUUUAUGAUGUUUAUGCAUCUUAUUUGCUUAGAACAACGGUAGUAAAUAAGAUGACCCCUUAUUAAAAUUUCAAGAAAGUGUUCCCCCUAACUGUGCACCGUUGCGAAAGUUCGUCGUUUCGAAGCACCACGUGAUGAUCGGGUGUGAUAGAUUCUUACGUUCACAUACAACGGGUGUAAGCCAGAUUUACACACGCGAAACACUUAGGUUAACUUGACGAGCCUAGCAUGUACAGACAUGGCCUCAGAACACAAGAGACCGAAAGGUCGAGCAUUGGUCGUAUGGUGGAUACGAUCAACAUGAAGAUGUUCACCGAUGAUGACUAGUCCAUCUCACGUGAUGAUAGGCCACGGCCUAGUUGACUCGGAUCAGGUAAUCACUUAGAUGACUGGAGGGAUGUCUAUCUGAGUGGCAGUUCAUUGGAUGAACUUAAUUAUCCUGAACAUAGUCAAAAGCCCUUUGCAAAUUAUGUCAUAGCUCGCGCUUUAGUUCUACUGUUUAGAUAUGUUCCUAGAGAAAAUAUAGUUGAAAGUUGACAGUAGCGAUUAUGCGGACAGUAGAAAGCUUAUGUCCUUAAUGCACCGCUCAGUGUGCUGAACCCCAAACGUCGUCUGUGGAUGUUGCGAACAUCGGACAUACACGUUUUGAUAACUACGUGAUACUUCAGUUAAACAGUUUAGAGUUGAGGCACCAAAGACGUUUUCGAAACGUCGCGGAACAUAUGAGAUGUUUCGAGGGCUGAAAUUGGGAUUUCAGGCUCGUGCCCACGUCAAGAGGUAUAAGACCUCCGACGAUUUUCUAAGCCUGCAAACUAAAGGAGAAAAGCUCAAUCGUUGAGCUUGUGCUUAGAUUGUCUGAGUGCAACAAUCACUUAAAUCGAGUGGGAGUUGAUCUUCUAGAUGAGAUAGUGAUGUUUCUCCAAAGUCAUUGCCACCAAGCUGCUAGAGCUUCGUGAUGAACUAUAACAUAUCAGGGAUAGAUAUGAUGAUCCUUGAGGUAUUCGCGAUGUUUGACACCGUGAAAGUAGAAAUCAAGAAGGAGCAUCAAUUGUUGAUGGUUAGUGAAACCACUAGUUUCAAGAAGGGCAAGGGCAAGAAGGGAUACUUCAUGAAACGGCAAAUCAGCUGCUGCUCUAGUGAAGAAACCCAAGGUUGAACCCAAACCCGAGACUAAGUGCUUCUGUAAUGAGAGGAAUGGACACUGAAGCGGAACCACCCUAGAUACUUGGUAGAUGAGAAGGCUGGCAAGGUCGAUAGAAGUAUAUUUGAUAUACAUUAUGUUAAUAUGUACUUUACUAGUACUCCUAGUAGCACCACGGUAUUAGAUACCGGUUCGGUUGCUAAGUGUUAGUAACUCGAAAUAAAAGCUACGGAAUAAACGGAGACUAGCUAAAGGUGAGCCGACAAUAUGUGUUGGAAGUGUUUCCAAGGUUGAUGUGAUCAAGCAUCGCACGCUCCCUCUGCCAUCGAGAUUGGUGUUAAACCUAAAUAAUUGUUAUUUGGUGUUUGCGUUGAGCAUAGACAUGAUUGGAUUAUGUCUAUCGCGGUACGGUUAUUCAUUUAAGGAGAAUAAUGGUUACUCUGUUUAUUUGAAUAAUACCUACAAUGGUCUUGCACCUAAAAUGAAUGGUUUAUUGAAAUCUCGAUCGUAGUGAUACACAUUUUCAUGCCAAAAGAUAUAAGAUAGUAAUGAUAGUACCACCUGCUUGUGGCACUGCCAUUUGAGUCAUAUUGGUAUAAAAGGCAUGAAGAAGCUCCAUGUUGAUGGAUCUUUGGACUCACUCGUUUUGAAAAGUUUGAGACAUGUGAACCAUGUUUAUUGGUGUAUACGCAUGAAGAAACUCCAUGCAGAUGGAUCGUUUCGACUCACUUGAUUUUGAAUCACUUGAGGUAUGCAAAUCAUACCACAUGGGCAAGAUGACUGAAAAGCCUCGGUUUCAGUAAGAUGGAACAAGAUAGCAACUUGUAGGAAGUAACAAAUUUUGAUGUGUGCAGUCCAAUGAGUGCUGAGGCAUGCAGUGAAUAUCGUUAUGUUCUUACUUCACGGAUGAUUUAAGUAGAUUCUGAGUGUAUUUACUUGAUGAAACACAAGUCUGAAUUAUUGAAUGGUUCAAGUAAUUUCAGAGUGAAGUUAAAGAUCAUCGUGACAAGAGGAUAACAUGUCUAUGAUAUGAUCAUAGAGAUGAGUAUCUGAGUUACGAGCUUUGGCACGCUAUUAAGACAUUGUGGAAAUUGUUUCACAAUUAAUACAGCCUGGAACACCAUAGUGUGAUGGUGUGUCCGAACAUCAUAGUUGCACCCUAUCAGAUAUGGUGCGUACCAUGAUGUCUCUUAUCGAAUUACCACUAUCGUUCAUGGGUUAGGCAUUAGAGACAACCGCACUCACUUUAAUAGGGCACCACGUAAUUCCGUUGAGAUGGCACUGUUUGAACUAUGGUUUGGAGAAACCUAAGUUGUCGUUUCUUAAAAGUUUGGGGCUGCGACGCUUAUGUGAAUAAGUUUCAUUGUGAUAAGGUCGAACCCAAAAACGGAUAAAUACAUCUUCAUAGGACACCCAAAACAGUUGGGUAUACCUCCUAUCUCAAGAUCCGGAAGCAAAAGUAAUUGUUUCUAGAAACGGGUCCUUUCUCGAGGAAAAGUUUAUCUCGAAAGAAUUGAGUGGGAGGAUGGUGGAGACUUGAUGAGGUUAUUGAACCAUCACUUCAACUAGUGUGCAGCAGGGCACAGGAAGUUGUUCCUGUGGCACCUACACCAAUUGAAGUAGAAGCUUAUGAUAGUGAUCAUGAAGUUUCGGAUCAAGUCACUACCGUACCUCGUAGGGUGACAAGGAUGCGUACUACUUCAGAGUGGUACAGUAAUCCUGUCUUGAAGGUCAUAUUGCUAGAUGAACCUACGAGCUAUGGAGAAGCGAUGGUGGGCCCAUAUUCCGACAAAAUGGUUAGAAGCCAUGAAAUCCGAGAUAGGAUCCAUGUAUCAGAACAAAGCAUGGACUUUGGUGGACUUGCCCGAUAGGCAAGCCAUUGAGAUAAGUGGAUCUUUAAGAAGAAGACGGACGAGGACGGUAAUGUCACCGUCUAUGAAGCUCGACUUGUGGCGAAGAGUUUUUCAUAAGUUCAAGGAGUUGACUACGAUGAGAUUUUCUCAUCCGUAGUGACGCUUAAGUCCGUCGGAAUCAUGUUAGCAUUAGCUGCAUUUAUGAAAUCUGGCAGAUGGAUGUCAAAACGAGUUUCCUUACCAGUCUUCGUAAGGAAAGGUUGUAUGUGAUACAAUCAGAAAGUUUUUGUCGAUCCUAAGGAUGCUAAAAGGUAUACUGGCUCCAGCGAUCCUUCUAAGGACUGGAGUAAGCAUCUCGGAGUUGGAAUGUGCGCUUUGAUGAGAUGAUCAAAGAUUUUGGGUUUAUACAAAGUUUAUGAGAAACUUGUAUUUCCAAAGAAGUGAGUGGGAGCACUAUAGAAUUUCUGAUGAGUAUAUGUUGUUGACAUAUUGUUGAUCAGAAAUGAUGUAGAAUUUCUGGAAAGCAUACAGGGUUAUUUGAAAGAUGUUUUUCAAUAGAAAACCUGGAUUAAGCUACUUGAACAUUGAGCAUCAAGAUCUAUAAGGAUAGAUCAAAAACGCUAAAUGGUACUUUCAAAUGAGCACAUACCUUGACAUAAUCUUGAAGGUGUUCAAGAUGGAUCAGUCAAAGAAUGAGUUCUUGCCUGAUUUGUAAUGUAUGAAGUUAAGAGUUAAAGCUCGACCACGGCAGAAAAGAGAGAAAGGACGAAGGUCGUCCCCUAUGCCUUGGACGUAGGCUCUACAGUAUGCUAUGCUGUGUACCGCACCGGAAGUGUGCCUUGCCAUGAGUCAGUCAAGGGGUACAAGAAUGAUCCAGGAAUGGAUCAUUGGACAGCGGUCAAAAUUGUCCUUGGAGUAAAUAAGGACAUGUUUCUCGAUUAUGGAGGUGAUAAAGAGUUCGGCGUAAAGGGUUACGUCGAUGCAAGCUUUAACACCUAUCCGAGUGACUCUGAGUAGCAAACCGGAUACGUAUAGUGGAGCAACCAUUUGGAAUAGCUCCAAGUGGAGCGUGGAAGCAACGUUUACAAUAUGACCUAGAAAUUUGCAAAGCACACACGGAUCUGAAAGGUUCAGAUCCGUUGACUAAAACCUCUCUCACAAGCAAAACAUGAUCAAACCUCAGAACUCAUUGAGUCUUAAUCACAUGAUAAUGUGACCUAGUUUAGUGACAAUAGUAAACUCUUUGGAUGUUGGUCACAUGGCGAUGUAACCUGUGAGUGUUAAUGACAUGGCGAUGUGAACUAGAUUAUUGACUCUAGUGCAAGUGGGAGACUAUUGGAAAUAUGCCCUAGAGGCAAUAAUAAAUUAGUUGUUAGUAUAUUUCCUUGUUCAUGGUAAUCAUUUAUUAUCCAUGCUAUAAUUGUAUUGAAAGGAAACUCAGAUACAUGUCUGGGUACAUAGACAACACCAUGUCCCUAGUAAGCCUCUAGUUGACUAGCUCGUUGAUCAAUAGAUGGUUACGGUUUCUUGACCAUGCACAUUGGAUGUCGUUGAUAACGGGAUCACAUCAUUAGGAGAAUGAUGUGAUGGACAAGACCCAAUCCUAAGCCUAGCACAAAGAUCGUAGUUCGUAUCCUAAAGCUUUUCUAAUGUCAAGUAUCAUUUCCUUAGACCAUGAGAUUGUGCAACUCCCGGAUACCGUACGAAUGCUUUGGGUGUACCAAACGUCACAACGUAACUGGGUGGCUAUAAAGGUGCAUUACAGGUAUCUCCGAAAGUGUCUGUUGGGUUGGCAUGAAUCGAGACUGGGAUUUGUCUCUCCGGUUGACGGAGAGGUAUCUCUGGGCCCACUCGGUAGGACAUCAUCAUAAUGUGCACAAUGUGACCAACGGGUUGAUCACGGGAUGAUGUGUUAUGGAACGAGUAAAGAGACUUGCCGGUAACGAGAUUGAACAAGGUAUCGGGAUACCGACAAUCGAAUCUCGGGCAAGUACAAUACCGCUAGACAAAGGGAAUUGUAUACGGGAUUGAUUGAGUCCUUGACAUCGUGGUUCAUCCGAUGAGAUCAUCGUGGAACAUGUGCGAGCCAACAUGGGUAUCCAGAUCCCGCUGUUUGUUAUUGACCGGAGAAUGUCUCGGUCAUGUCUGCAUGGUUCCCGAACCCGUAGGGUCUACACACUUAAGGUUCGAUGAUGCUAGGGUUAUAAUGGAAGUUUGUAUGUGGUUACCGAAUGUUGUUCGGAGUCCCGGAUGAGAUCCCGGACGUCACGAGGAGUUCCGGAAUGGUCCGGAGGUAAAGAUUUAUAUAUGGGAAGUCCUGUUUUGGUCACCGAAAAGGUUUCGGGUUUUAUCGGUAAACGUACCGGGACCACCGGGAGGGUCCCGGGGGUCCACCAAGUGGGGCCACCGGCCCCGGAGGGCUGCAUGGGCCAAUUGUGGGAGGGGGCCAGCCCCAGGUGGGCUGGUGCGCCCCCCACAAGGGCCCAAGGCGCCUAGGGUUUGGGGGAACCCUAAAAGGGGGCGCCCCCCCUUGCCUUGGGGGGCAAGGCAACCCCCCUGGCCGCCGCCCCCUCCUCAGAUUGGAUCUGAGGGGGCCGGCCCCCCUCUCCCUUGCCCCUAUAUAUAUGUGGGGGUUGGGAGGGCAGCCGCACCCAAGUUCUGGCGCAGCCCUCCCCCUCUCCCAAGUCCUCCUCCUCUCCCGCGGUGCUUGGCAAAGCCCUGCAGGAUUGCCACGCUCCUCCACCACCACCACGCCGUUGUGCUGCUGCUGGAUGGAGUCUUCCUCAACCUCUCCCUCUCUCCUUGUUGGAUCAAGGCAUGGGAGACGUCACCCGGCUGUACGUGUGUUGAACGCGGAGGUGCCGUCCGUUCGGCACUAGGAUCUCCGGUGAUUUGGAUCACGACGAGUACAACUCCUUCAACCCCGUUCUCUUGAACGCUUCCGCUUAGCGAUCUACAAGGGUAUGUAGAUGCACUCUCCUUCCCCUCAUUGCUGGUUUCUCCAAAGAUAGAUCUUGGUGACACGUAGGAAAAUUUUGAAUUUCUGCUAUGUUCCCCAACAGUCACAACAGUGCAUCCCGUGUCUUGCGUACCUGCAUCCAGGUGCCUCUCUCACAUGAAACUUGCGAUGACUCUUAAAUGCCCCAUCGUGUCGCACAACCUUGGCUCUGCACACUUCCAAACCGUGACCCUGUAACUAUGUAUUCGGAGCUCACCUCUGCUACUCCGUCCACGUGCCUCUGGAUGGAUGCUUGUGGUGCCUUCAUUUCUGUAGAGACUUCAAUUCCAUGCCUCCGACACCUGCAGUAACACAUGCCAGUGGCUCUAGAGACUGCAAACCUGUGCCUCUCUAAUUGCGUACUCCAACCCAUGCCACUCUUGCCACUCCUCAACAAGCCGCGCUUGUGUGCACAACUAAAUUGUACUUAGCGUAAAAAUACUGCUUUGUAUUUUGUUGUUUUUAGACUAAAAAUCCACAUUACUACUUCAAAAUCACAUGAUUGCUGUAUAAACAUAGUACUUAGCAAGCUAAAUAACUUGUUCAAUCACAUAAACGAACUACAAACUUGACAUAAGCAAACUUGUUUAACCUGAUACAGAUGACAUUAGAAACUGCUUCGUUCUAACAGAAGUAAACUACGAACCUGAAACAAUAGAAAGGACAAGCAGAAACACAAACAACUCCACGACUAGUUUUCUAUGUUUUCGUCAUCACUAGUAGACGUAGUAAGGAUAAUCAUAAUUCUUCUCUGCCUCUUUUGCACUCUCUAGUCCUUCUCUGAUGUUUUAAAUUCUCUUCCAAGACUCGUAGGUGGCGUACGCAUCUAUCGCUGCAUACUUGAUGAGGUAAUUUCGGAGUGGGCUGAUCCCCCACAGUUUAUGGUCUUCAACCCUGUCAAUCUUAUCCUUCAUCUGUUUGUAGAAUGGGUGGAUCACGCUCCCUGCAAUUGAGCCAAAGAGUGUUACCUCUUUAUUCCCUCGAACCGAACUCUCCAUUUGCGCUGGAUGUCGAUGUACUUGUCGGGGUUGAUCUCCAAACCAGAACUUCGCAACAUCUCUUUGUCACCUUCAAUACUGAAGCCGGCAAAGGUGUAGAACAUGUCCUCCUUCAGGAACGGGCGCAGGCUCUUGGGCCUACAAGGGGGAUGACACAUUUAAGGUGGAUCCAUCAUGUAUCCAUCAAGUAAAUACUUAUAUAGUACGUAUAAUUUGUGGACGAAAAAAAUUCAGAAACUGAUAUGCAGAGUUCAGAAAUAAAAUACAAGCACAGCAUGUCAUUUUUAUUUUUGGUAUUUACACUUGAAUAAAUGACCUAUCUACUCCUUACCCACGUUAACGCAUCAAUUCAAGAAACUGAACUACACUAGAACAUCAAAUAUAGAAACUACACUAGAACAGAAAGUGCACUAGAACAUCAAGUUCAGAAAAUAAUCUCAUACAUCAAAUUCAUAAAUUAAUCUAGUGCAUCAAAUACAUAAACUGAUCUGGUGAGUGAAUUUCAAAAUCUUUUCUGCUGCAUCUACUUCAGAAACUUCACUGAUACAUCAAUUCAAUAAACCAAUUUAAUCAAAUUUCAUGGUGAAAUGCUAAUUAAACAGAAGCAUGGAGAGGUUGAAGCUUUAGGAUGGUUCACCAUUUUGUUACCGCGGUGAUGUGGUAUACCAGACAGAGUUCCUCCAUGCAUAACUGGAGAACCGCUGCCCUCUGCGGAGAUUCGUCUUCCCUAGUAUACUCGACAUCAACGCCGAUGUACUGACGGUACAAGCCGCAGACCCUCUUCAGGAUCCUGCUGAUCAUCUUGUCGGCUUCAUGAGGAUUGAUGGUGCAUACGACAUCCAGCUUUUCCUUGCCAUUGAUGCCAACCUCCUUGAGGUGCACUUUGUAGUCAUGCUUCUGACCGUGGACCUAAACAUCGUCAACCUCGAUGCUCUGGUCGAACGUCUCACCACGGGGACGCUUGGCAGACAGUUCCUCCGCCAUUACGCUCCUCCGGCGAUGGCAGCCUUGACACAGAGAUUGUGAGGAGCUGCUAGUUGAGUUGGAGCGGCAAUAGUGUUUUUGGAAUUGAGCGGCCAUGGAAGCGCAGUUGCCCUUUUGUGCCAAGGUUUGGGUCAUGGAGGAGGUGGUUGGAUGCGGCCUCGUCGUGGUAAUGAGGGUAGUAGACAUGCGCUUGCGGUUGCUGUGCCCCGGGGCAACUGCCGAGUGGCAGUGCUCGCGGUUGCCGGGAAAAAGCAACCAUCAAAUCGUCUGAUUAAGCACGUAACAAAUGUUUUUGCAUAAACCAUUCAAGCACACACUGCACUAGCACGCUUAGAUAGCGUGCACUGCGUUCAGAUACUAAGCACUUACUAUGUUGA